rnacentral:lncRNA from 1 species
UAUAAAAUCAGGCCUGGCAGACUGAAGCAAGAAGAUCAUAAUUUGAAUAGUAAGAACUUUACUAAAGCAAUCUGUCAAUCGAUGACCUAAACAACCAGCCAAAUAGACUAAUGUUAACAAAGACAAUUAUUGCUCAUAACUUAGUACCUGUUCCUGUACUCUCUUAAGUUUUAUUUUUUCUUAAACAUAUUUUAAAGUCUAAUUUAAAGGACAUUAGAAUAAAGUUGUGUGUGUGUGUGUGUGUGUGUGUGUGUGCACGUGCGUGUGUGUGUAUUCUUACUAGGUAUCUCAUUAUUACUGUGCCCUUUCUUUCAUUUCAUAAUAGCAGGAUCCUUUUAAAAGUUAUUCAUUUUAUUUUAAGUGUAUGAGUGUCUGCUCACCAGGUAUGCGUGUUCAGAAGACAGCAAGAGUUUCAAAUCUGGAUCAGUACUGAAGAUACAGAUUGUGUUCUUGUUUUUCUUUUCUUUUUUUUCUUUUGCAGCAAUCAUGUAGAUGCUGUCUUGAGUCCUCAUCCUCUGGAAGAACAGCAUGUGUUCUUCUGCACUGAGCAUCCUUACAACCCAUCUAACAUUUCCCUCAGUGAUGUCUGAUCCAUGAUAGAGGUUUACAGUGCCAAGAUUUCAUAAACAUGUUCUGCCUUUACUUUCAACUUGUCUUUGCUUGUAUGUUUAAGGAGAAAUACUUUUUGACAGAAUAUUAUUGAGUUUUGCUUUGUUAAAGUCAAAUAUUUCUUUUUUGAUCAUACCCAUUGAGUAAAGCUUAUCUUAAGAAAUUCCUUUUUCUUGCAACUCAUGUGUUGUCUAUUUUCUUUGAGAAGAAGACAGCAAGACAUGAUUAAACAUAGAAAAGGGUGGAGCAAUGGAAGGCAUCCUACAGGAGUGAGGGAACCAUCUGAUGCCUAGGUCUUACUGCUGUGAAUGUCAAGGAAAUUGAUUAUAGGAAUGGUAAUCUGAACUUUUUCUAUAAGUGUUUAAGUCAAGCACAUAGAAUGUUUUAAAAUCAAUUUACCCAUCAGAUAGGAUAAGUAUUCCAGCUACAAUCAGUACUAGUUGUUAGCACUACACAUCAAGUAUGACACAGAUAGAAACACAGAUUCAGAAAAUAAACUUGGCGUUUCGCAUCUUGAAUACUUUUUGCAAUAGUAAUCUGUUAGGGGUUGGUCUGGUACUGUGUAUACAAAUGGUAAAUUCCGGUCCCCAACACCUGGUUGUUUGCAGAGAAGUGAAUGCUCAUGUGCACCAGUCUUUGUUGUGCAAACCUUACUCUGUAUGCAAUUUAAAGAUAUUGG